rnacentral:lncRNA from 1 species
GCAAAGUAAGAAGUCAAAGCAAGUCCUGUGUUCAAAUCCUAGCAUACCUACUAUCUGAAUUUGUCGUCAUCGAACAAUUGCAAUUCAAUACUGGGAGGACUUCCAGAAGGAUUUCAUCAAAUAACAAGCGUGUUAUUCAGAGAUCCAUAAUGAUAUGUUCAGACCCAAGUACAGACACUUCUUUGGAAUGAUUAUAGCAGAAGAGAAAUUCAAAACAAACAGCUCCGUACCUGAAAAGGUACAACAAGGAGGGAUGAAGAAAGAUCACUGACCAGAAAUAAAAUUGGGAGUUUAGACAAUUAAAUUAUCUGGACAUUUUAAUUCCUGAACUACGACUAGGCUACAACAUGCGGACUGCUGUAGAUGUCACCCAGGAACAGAAAAUAACUAGCCUCGUGAGAAAGUUUUGAAUGGGCAAAAGGGAAAUUGAAUACAAUUGUUUUUUGCUUGCACCAUAUAGAGGCGUAUUCUUUCUAUGUACAGUGAUAGGAAACUGGUGGUGUUUGACAUCAUCCAAAAACAGGGCCCAUUUUUUGAAUCAUAAAUUAUCUUCAUGAACACACCCAUUGCCUUCAACAUACAGCCUAAGUCUCAUACUUUCUAAAAUAUCUCCGGUACCUGCUCCAGUUCUCAGUGAUCACCAAUUCCUUUGUCCUCCAAUAACAUAAAUUUCUUUUCUACCUUGUACUUAGAAUUCUGUUCAAACUAUCUUGUUGUAUUCAAAAUAAUUUUAACGAGCUAUAGUUGACAUAACAUAUUUAGUUAUCUAUCUAUGUAUCUGUCAUCUAUCAAUCAUCUGAUGAGAAUUUAUCAUUACACUCAAGAUAAUGAGCUCAGACAUGAUUCCCAAAUAUUUUCUCAUCAGGCUUUGUAAUUCUUCCCUCUCAACACUCCCCAGCAUCCCCCAAACCCAAUAAACCACUAAUCUGCUUUCAGUCACUAUAGAUUCAUUUAUAUUUUCUGAAAUUUUAUAUACAAUGGAAUCAUUCACUAUGAACUCUUUUUCAUCUGACGUCUUAUAUUCAGCAUAAUUAUUUUCAUAUGUUUCCGUGUUGCAGAGUAUAAUUUCGUUACAUAGAUAUUCUAUCUUAUUUAUCAAUUUACAUUUUUGUAAAGAUUGUGAAAUAAAAAUAAAAUCCUAAGCCCUGCAACUGACUGAGCAGACACCUGUUGCCCAAGAAGACUCCAGAAAAACUUUGAAAAAUUGAGUUUCCUGGUCAUGACAAGGUGGGAGGUUGAGUACCUCUUGGUGUACCUCAUUCCUUGCCAAUCUUUACUAGAUUAUUUUCUAAGGGUUAAACAGAAACUGGCCCUGGAAAAAUAAAGAAAUGAAAACUCACUCCUUUGCUGAUUUCAGCCAACUGCUGGACACUGCAGCUGGAAUCCUCUCCCUUCUUGUAGUUUCUACACAGCAGCUCACCAGUUUCAUAGCACAUUCCUUUCUGAUUUUUUACUACCAGCCAUGGACUGGUUCUGGCCAGAUACAGAGGCUGCCCACAAGA